rnacentral:rRNA from 1 species
ACUCCUACGGGAGGCAGCAGUAGGGAAUCUUCGGCAAUGGACGAAAGUCUGACCGAGCAACGCCGCGUGAGUGAAGAAGGUUUUCGGAUCGUAAAACUCUGUUGUUAGAGAAGAACAAGGGUGAGAGUAACUGUUCACCCCUUGACGGUAUCUAACCAGAAAGCCACGGCUAACUACGUGCCAGCAGCCGCGGUAAUACGUAGGUGGCAAGCGUUGUCCGGAUUUAUUGGGCGUAAAGCGAGCGCAGGCGGUUUCUUAAGUCUGAUGUGAAAGCCCCCGGCUCAACCGGGGAGGGUCAUUGGAAACUGGGAGACUUGAGUGCAGAAGAGGAGAGUGGAAUUCCAUGUGUAGCGGUGAAAUGCGUAGAUAUAUGGAGGAACACCAGUGGCGAAGGCGGCUCUCUGGUCUGUAACUGACGCUGAGGCUCGAAAGCGUGGGGAGCAAACAGGAUUAGAUACCCUGGUAGUCCACGCCGUAAACGAUGAGUGCUAAGUGUUGGAGGGUUUCCGCCCUUCAGUGCUGCAGCUAACGCAUUAAGCACUCCGCCUGGGGAGUACGACCGCAAGGUUGAAACUCAAAGGAAUUGACGG